CUAUGGUCAUCUUCCAGGAAAGCUUAUUGUGCGAAUACUAAAUGUUCUUGAUCUAAGCAAGAUCCCAUUUUCUGAGUCAUUCCCACAGCACAUUAGUUCUUCGAACCCUGUCAUGUGCCCACCUCCUGAGUAUUUUGCUACUCUUCUGUUGGGACUGGUGAAUAAUGUGUUACCCCCAUUAAAUACCAACUCAAAAUAUGGAUCAGUUGCAGAUGGUCUAUGUAAUUCAAUGCGCAAU
rnacentral:misc_RNA from 1 species